rnacentral:rRNA from 1 species
GACGAACGCUGGCGGCGUGCUUAACACAUGCAAGUCGAACGGAAAGGCCCUGCUUUUGUGGGGUGCUCGAGUGGCGAACGGGUGAGUAACACGUGAGUAACCUGCCCUUGACUUUGGGAUAACUUCAGGAAACUGGGGCUAAUACCGGAUAGGAUCUCCUGCUGCAUGGUGGGGGUUGGAAAGUUUCGGCGGGUGGGGAUGGACUCGCGGCUUAUCAGCUUGUUGGUGGGGUAGGGGCUUACCAAGGCUUUGACGGGUAGCCGGCCUGGGAGGGUGACCGGCCACAUUGGGACUUAGAUACGGCCCAGACUCCUACGGGAGGCAGCAGUGGGGAAUAUUGCACAAUGGGCGGAAGCCUGAUGCAGCAACGCCGCGUGCGGGAUGACGGCCUUCGGGUUGUAAACCGCUUUCGCCUGUGACGAAGCGUGAGUGACGGUAAUGGGUAAAGAAGCACCGGCUAACUACGUG